rnacentral:rRNA from 1 species
GCAUAUCAAUAAGCGGAGGAAAAGAAACCAACAGGGAUUGCCUCAGUAACGGCGAGUGAAGCGGCAACAGCUCAAAUUUGAAAUCUGGCUGCCUGUGCAGUCCGAGUUGUAAUUUGAAGAGGAUGCUUUUGGCAAGGUGCCUUCCGAGUUCCCUGGAAUGGGACGCCAUAGAGGGUGAGAGCCCCGUAUGGUCGGUCGCCGAGCCUCUGUAAAGCUCCUUCGACGAGUCGAGUAGUUUGGGAAUGCUGCUCAAAAUGGGAGGUAAACCCCUUCUAAAGCUAAAUAUUGGCCAGAGACCGAUAGCGCACAAGUAGAGUGAUCGAAAGAUGAAAAGCACUUUGAAAAGAGAGUUAAACAGCACGUGAAAUUGUUGAAAGGGAAGCGCUUGCGACCAGACUUGUGCUCGUCGAAUCAGCCGUCGCUCGUCGGCGGCGCAUUUCGGCGGGCUCAGGCCAGCAUCAGUUCGCUGCAGGGGGAGAAAGGCGGUAGGAAUGUGGCUCUUCGGAGUGUUAUAGCCUACCGUAUAAUACCCCUCGGUGGACUGAGGACCGCGCAUCUGCAAGGAUGCUGGCGUAAUGGUUGUCAGCGACCCGUCUUGAAACACGGACCAAGGAGUCGUCCUAAUAUGCGAGUGUUCGGGUGUAAAACCCCUACGCGUAAUGAAAGUGAACGGAGGUGAGAGCUUCGGCGCAUCAUCGACCGAUCCUGAUGUUCUCGGAUGGAUUUGAGUAUGAGCAUAUUGGGCCGGACCCGAAAGAAGGUGAACUAUGCCUGUAUAGGGUAAAGCCAGAGGAAACUCUGGUGGAGGCUCGCAGCGGUUCUGACGUGCAAAUCGAUCGUCAAAUAUGGGCAUGGGGGCGAAAGACUAAUCGAACCUUCUAGUAGCUGGUUUCCGCCG